rnacentral:rRNA from 1 species
AUUGAACGCUGGCGGCAGGCUUAACACAUGCAAGUCGAGCGGGGGAAGGUAGCUUGCUACCGGACCUAGCGGCGGACGGGUGAGUAAUGCUUAGGAAUCUGCCUAUUAGUGGGGGACAACAUCUCGAAAGGGAUGCUAAUACCGCAUACGUCCUACGGGAGAAAGCAGGGGAUCUUCGGACCUUGCGCUAAUAGAUGAGCCUAAGUCGGAUUAGCUAGUUGGUGGGGUAAAGGCCUACCAAGGCGACGAUCUGUAGCGGGUCUGAGAGGAUGAUCCGCCACACUGGGACUGAGACACGGCCCAGACUCCUACGGGAGGCAGCAGUGGGGAAUAUUGGACAAUGGGGGGAACCCUGAUCCAGCCAUGCCGCGUGUGUGAAGAAGGCCUUAUGGUUGUAAAGCACUUUAAGCGAGGAGGAGGCUACUUUAGUUAAUACCUAGAGAUAGUGGACGUUACUCGCAGAAUAAGCACCGGCUAACUCUGUGCCAGCAGCCGCGGUAAUACAGAGGGUGCGAGCGUUAAUCGGAUUUACUGGGCGUAAAGCGUGCGUAGGCGGCUUAUUAAGUCGGAUGUGAAAUCCCCGAGCUUAACUUGGGAAUUGCAUUCGAUACUGGUGAGCUAGAGUAUGGGAGAGGAUGGU